rnacentral:lncRNA from 1 species
UUGGCAAGAAACCAAACUGACCGGGAACAAAAGAUGGCGAUAAUUCACAGGGAGCCGAGCGGUAGCAUAACCUGCGCUGACUUUAUGUUAUUCUGGAGGCCGAAUGGGGCUCAGGGCUGUUCCUAAACACUCUCCUGUAUCUGCGAAGCCUCUAGGAUUUCUGGGUACUACCAAACCAAGAAAGAAUGGAUGUUGUGACUUAAAACUAUAAGGGAGCUAAGGUGAGGAAAGAGAACAGAGAGACCAAGAAACUCAAGGAUCAAAUAACUUGAACCCUGAACAUCUGUGUAGACUGUGUUCCUUCGGCACAGGUUGAUAGAAGCUCUUGGAAUCCAAAGCCAUGGUUUGGGAAUCGAGCAAGAGAAGGAUGGAAAAUGACUGCUCUUCAGCUGUCAUUUACCCCUGACUAUCAUUUGUCACUGGAAAUAAGGCAAGAGUCCCCUUGAACAGGACAGAGCCUGGGAACCUGAUUUCUCUCCUGAGCGUUGGGAUAUGGAUGCAGAUAUCAUCAUGGACCGUCCCAAUGCUGAAAGCCAUUUGUUGACUUCAAGAGGAAUGACAACCACGUCCACUUAAGAAGUCUUAUCUUUUGGGAGAAGUCUUAAGACCAGGAACUUCUAAUGCUUGA